rnacentral:rRNA from 1 species
CGGGGAAUUUUGCACAAUGGGGGGAACCUUGAUGCAGCGACGCCGCGUGAGGGAUGGAGGCCUUCUGGUUGUGAACCUCUUUCGCUCGUGUGCAAGCCGCCAUUUGGGUAGUGGUGAGUGUAGCGGGUAAAGAAGCGCCGGCUAACUACGUGCCAGCAGCCGCGGUAAUACGUAGGGCGCGAGCGUUGUCCGGAUUUAUUGGGCGUAAAGGGCUUGUAGGCGGUUUGUCGCGCCUGUCGUGUAAUCCUCUGGCUUAACUGGGGGUGUGCGGUGGGUACGGGGAGGCUUUGGUGCGGUAGGGGAGAUUGGAAUUCCUGGUGUAGCGGUGGAAGGCGCAGAUAUCAGGAGGAACACCGGUGGCGAAGGCGGGUCUCUGGGCCGUUACUGACGCUGAGGGGCGAAAGCGUGGGGAGCGAACAGG